UCAACACUAUUGUUGGACUUUUUCUCUUUUUUGUUUUAAUCAUGCUCGAACUUGAGGGCAGGUCAUUUUGACUUGGCCAUCAGAGAGAGCAUGUAUGCUCGAAUGAAUUUAUAAGUAGAAGAAUUUAUAAACAAGACAUUGUUAUGUCAACUGCUUGGCUUUAACUUGAGGGCAGGUCAUUUUGACUUGGCCAUUGCGGAGAACAUGACUAUAGAAAAAGACUACCAAAGUGAAUAGAAACGUUUGUAAAAGUGAACAGUGGAGUAAGUCAGAAAAGUCCUCUAAGUCGAAACCCUAACCCUAACCCUAACCCAACCCUAAGAACUACAAACCCUAACCCCUAUUUUGAAUCACCAUUGACUCUGUAACGGUGUUUGAAGUCCAUCUAUUGACUUUGAAGUCUAUUUUCGACGUUUGUAUUGACUUUUUGUAGUCUUUUCUGAUGUUGAAGUUGUUUUGAAGUUGAAAUAAAGUGGCUUAUAGGGAGUGCAGAAACAUUCCAGAU
rnacentral:misc_RNA from 1 species